ensembl:snRNA U6 U6 spliceosomal RNA
GUGCUCACUUCAGCAGCAUAUAUACUAAAAUUGAAACAAUACAGAAAAGAUUAGCAUGGCCUCUGCACAAGGAUGAUAUGCAAAUUCAUAAAUCGUUCCAUAGUUUU